rnacentral:lncRNA from 1 species
UUGGGUGAACUUGUCACCAAUCAGUCCAAGUUAACUCUGUGCCAGGCCUGUAGAAUGGGGCCUGGUCUUCCUGUCAUAACAUACAUUACUUACCAUUUUCCAGGGCCUCCUCUGUGCUCCUGGUCUUCGAGUCCCAUAACUGUGCCUUACUCUGUGCCAGGCCUGUAGACUGGGGCCUGGUCUUUCUUACUCUGUGCCAGGCCUGUAGCAUGGGGCCUGGUCUUCCUGUCUUGGACUAAUUGGGUCAUCCAACAUUCACCCACAUCAACAACAAUUUAUGCAAUGCGGCAUAUUCGUGAAAACUAAUGCAAUCAUCCUAUUGCAUAAUCAUGAUGCAUGGAACAUGAUAAAGCAU